rnacentral:rRNA from 1 species
GACGUAGGGCGCGAGCGUUGUCCGGAAUUAUUGGGCGUAAAGAGCGUGUAGGCGGCCAGGUAGGUCCGUUGUGAAAACUCGAGGCUCAACCUCGAGACGUCGGCGGAAACCCUCUGGCUAGAGUCCGGAAGAGGAGAGUGGAAUUCCUGGUGUAGCGGUGAAAUGCGCAGAUAUCAGGAAGAACACCCGUGGCGAAGGCGGCUCUCUGGGACGGUACUGACGCUGAGACGCGAAAGCGUGGGGAGCGAACAGG